UCAUAGGUGGUUCAGUGGUAGAAUUCUCGCCUGUCAUGCGGGAGGCCUGGGUUCGUCUCCCAGCCCAUGCA